rnacentral:lncRNA from 1 species
UUUCUUUAUAUAAAAAAAUUUUAAAAAAAUAGAAUAAUUUGGGGUAAACUUCAAAUACUCCAUAUGUGAUUUCACAUUUUCUCACUUUAGUAUUCUGUGGUUUAAAGUGUAUCAAGUUAGUCCAUUUGGUUUAGAACUUUCUCACUCUAGUACUCUGUGGUUUAAAGUGUAUCAAGUUAAUUAGUAUCCUGUGAUUUUAUUUUUCUCUUUUUAUUAUACAUUUCACUAGUUUUUUUUCGUUAAAUCAGUGACAAAGUUAACGGAAUAUUAGCGGAGGAAAAAAAAUCAGUGACAAAAUUAAAACUAAAGGGUGAUAAAGUAAAUAUUCGAUAAAGCUAGAUAGGGUAUCUUAAGUUUUUGGUAUAUAAUUUAACGAAAUAUUAACGGAGGAAAAAAAAUUAGUGACAAAGUUAAAACUAAAGGUGCUAAAGUAAAUAUUCGAUAAAGCUAGGUAGGAUAUCUGAAGUUUUUUGUAUAUAAUUUAACGAAAUAUCAACAGAGGAGCCGACGAAAAGAGAAAAAUGAAACCACAUAGUACUAAAUUGAUACACUUUAAACCACAGGGUACUAAAGUGAAAAAGUGUGAAAUCGCAGGGUACUAAAUUGAUACACUUUAAACCACAGAAUACUAAAGUGAAAAAAAAUGAGACCACAGGGUGGUAUUUGAAGCUUUUUCUAUAAUUUAUAUAAAUAAGAAUAAUUAAAAUUUAGAGGACAUAUUUAAAAUGACCUUUAGUUCAGGUGGUUUAUAUGUAUCGGUAAUUAUAUGUAUUAAUAUAUGUUAGUA